rnacentral:rRNA from 1 species
UGGGGAAUAUUGCACAAUGGGGGAAACCCUGAUGCAGCAACGCCGCGUGAAGGAUGACGGUUUUCGGAUUGUAAACUUCUUUUCUUAGUGACGAAGACAGUGACGGUAGCUAAGGAAUAAGCAUCGGCUAACUACGUGCCAGCAGCCGCGGUAAUACGUAGGAUGCAAGCGUUAUCCGGAUUUACUAGGUGUAAAGGGUGCGUAGGCGGCUUUGCAAGUCAGAUGUGAAAUCUAUGGGCUCAACCCAUAAACUGCAUUUGAAACUGUAGAGCUUGAGUGAAGUAGAGGCAGGCGGAAUUCCCCGUGUAGCGGUGAAAUGCGUAGAGAUGGGGAGGAACACCAGUGGCGAAGGCGGCCUGCUGGGCUUUAACUGACGCUGAGGCACGAAAGCGUGGGUAGCAAACAGGAUUAGAUACCCUGGUAGUCCACACUGUAAACGAUGAUAGCUAGGUGUGGGGGGUCUGACCCCUUCCGUGCCGGAGUUAACGCAAUAAGCUAUCCACCUGGGGAGUACGACCGCAAGGUUGAAACUCAAAGGAAUUGACGGGGGCCCGCACAAGCAGUGGAUUAUGUGGUUUAAUUCGAAGCAACGCGAAGAACCUUACCAGGUCUUGACAUCCGACUAACGAGAUAGAGAUAUGUCAGGUGCCCUUCGGGGAAAGUCGAGACAGGUGGUGCAUGGUUGUCGUCAGCUCGUGUCGUGAGAUGUUGGGUUAAGUCCCGCAACGAGCGCAACCCCUGCCAUUAGUUGCUACGCAAGAGCACUCUAAUGGGACCGCUACCGACAAGGUGGAGGAAGGUGGGGACGACGUCAAAUCAUCAUGCCCCUUAUGACCUGGGCCACACACGUAAUACAAUGGCCGUUAACAGAGGGAAGCAAAGCGGUGACGCAGAGCAAAACCCUAAAAACGGUCCCAGUUCGGACUGUAGGCUGCAACCCGCCUACACGAAGUUGGAAUUGCUAGUAAUCGCGGAUCAGCAUGCCGCGGUGAAUACGUUCCC